AACGAACGCUGGCGGCAUGCCUAACACAUGCAAGUCGAACGAGACCUUCGGGGCUAGUGGCGCACGGGUGCGUAACGCGUGGGAACCUGCCCUUAGGUUCGGAAUAACUCCCCGAAAGGGGUGCUAAUACCGGAUAAUGUCUUCGGACCAAAGAUUUAUCGCCUUUGGAUGGGCCCGCGUUGGAUUAGCUAGUUGGUAGGGUAAAAGCCUACCAAGGCGACGAUCCAUAGCUGGUCUGAGAGGAUGAUCAGCCACACUGGGACUGAGACACGGCCCAGACUCCUACGGGAGGCAGCAGUGGGGAAUAUAGGACAAUGGGCGAAAGCCUGAUCCAGCAAUGCCGCGUGAGUGAUGAAGGCCUUAGGGUUGUAAAGCUCUUUUACCCGGGAUGAUAAUGACAGUACCGGGAGAAUAAGCUCCGGCUAACUACGUG
rnacentral:rRNA from 1 species